rnacentral:rRNA from 1 species
CAACAGGGAUGCCUCAGUAACGGCGAGUGAAGCGGCAACAGCUCAAAUUUGAAAUCUGGCGCCCUCGGCGUCCGAGUUGUAAUUUGUAGAGGAUGCUUCGGCGAGGGCUCCCGUCUAAGUCCCCUGGAACGGGGCGUCGCAGAGGGUGAGAAUCCCGUAUGUGAUGGGCUGCCCGAGCCGUGUGAAGCUCCUUCGACGAGUCGAGUUGUUUGGGAAUGCAGCUCUAAAUGGGAGGUAAAUUUCUUCUAAAGCUAAAUACCGGCCAGAGACCGAUAGCGCACAAGUAGAGUGAUCGAAAGAUGAAAAGCACUUUGGAAAGAGAGUUAAAAAGUACGUGAAAUUGUUGAAAGGGAAGCGCUUGCAACCAGACUCGCGCGCAGUUGCUCAGCCGGUCUCCUGACCGGUGUACUCUUCUGCGUCCGGGCCAGCAUCAGUUCGGGCGGCCGGAUAAAGGCCUCGGGAAUGUGGCUCCCCUCGGGGAGUGUUAUAGCCCGGGGUGCAAUGCGGCCAGCCCGGACUGAGGAACUCGCUUCGGCUAGGAUGCUGGCGUAAUGGUUGUAAGCGGCCCGUCUUGAAACACGGACCAAGGAGUCUAACAUCUAUGCGAGUGUUUGGGUGUCAAACCCAUGCGCGUAAUGAAAGUGAACGGAGGUGGGAACCCUCACGGGUGCACCAUCGACCGAUCCUGAUGUCUUCGGAUGGAUUUGAGUAAGAGCAUAGCUGUUGGGACCCGAAAGAUGGUGAACUAUGCCUGAAUAGGGUGAAGCCAGAGGAAACUCUGGUGGAGGCUCGCAGCGGUUCUGACGUGCAAAUCGAUCGUCAAAUUUGGGUAUAGGGGCGAAAGACUAAUCGAACCAUU